rnacentral:rRNA from 1 species
AUUGAACGCUGGCGGAAUGCUUUACACAUGCAAGUCGAACGGCAGCACGGACUUCGGUCUGGUGGCGAGUGGCGAACGGGUGAGUAAUGUAUCGGAACGUGCCCAGUCGUGGGGGAUAACGUAGUGAAAAUUACGCUAAUACCGCAUACGAUCUAUGGAUGAAAGCGGGGGAUCGCAAGACCUCGCGCGAUUGGAGCGGCCGAUAACAGAUUAGGUAGUUGGUGGGGUAAAGGCCCACCAAGCCAACGAUCUGUAGCUGGGCUGAGAGGACGACCAGCCACACUGGAACUUAGACACGGUCCAGACUCCUACGGGAGGCAGCAGUGGGGAAUUUUGGACAAUGGGCGAAAGCCUGAUCCAGCCAUUCCGCGUGCAGGAUGAAGGCCCUCGGGUUGUAAACUGCUUUUGUACAGAACGAAAAGGUUUCUACUAAUACUAGGAGCUCAUGACGGUACUGUAAGAAUAAGCACCGGCUAACUACGUGCCAGCCGCCGCAGUAA